rnacentral:rRNA from 1 species
GGAGCCCGCCGCGUGAGUGAAGAAGGUUUUCGGAUCUGUAAAGCUCUUUCGUCAGGGACGAACGUAUUUCUUGUAAAUAAUGAGAGAUAGUGACGGUCCCUGAAUAAGAAGCCACGGCUAACUACGUGCCAGCAGCCGCAGUA